GACGAAGGGGGCUAGCGUUGUUCGGAAUUACUGGGCGUAAAGCGUGUGUAGGCGGUUGUUCAAGUCAGGCGUGAAAGCCUUGAGCUCAACUCAAGAAAUGCACUUGAUACUGGAUGACUAGAGGACCGGAGAGGAUAGUGGAAUUCCCAGUGUAGUGGUGAAAUACGUAGAGAUUGGGAAGAACACCAGUGGCGAAGGCGGCUAUCUGGACGGUUUCUGACGCUAAGACGCGAAAGCGUGGGGAGCAAACGGG
rnacentral:rRNA from 1 species